rnacentral:rRNA from 1 species
UACGGGGGGGGCAAGCGUUGUUCGGAAUCACUGGGCGUAAAGCGCACGUAGGCGGGUCGUUAAGUCAGGGGUGAAAUCCUGGAGCUCAACUCCAGAACUGCCCUUGAUACUGGCGAUCUCGAGUUCGGGAGAGGUGAGUGGAACUGCGAGUGUAGAGGUGAAAUUCGUAGAUAUUCGCAAGAACACCAGUGGCGAAGGCGGCUCACUGGCCCGAUACUGACGCUGAGGUGCGAAAGCGUGGGGAGCAAACAGG